UAAUAUUUUAGAUUGAAAUUUCGUAUAACCCCAAUGAUAUGGUUUGGGGGUCUCUACUAGGAACCAAUAAUUCCUAAUUACGAAGAAAAUAUAUAUUUAG
rnacentral:ncRNA from 2 species